rnacentral:lncRNA from 1 species
GGGAAACAGUUUUAAUAAUGGUAGAACAGUUCACCAGGAACAUAACUCUGAAACAGCCUCUAAAUAUAUAAAGCAAUUGACAGUUACAAACAAGUUUAGGCCCAAAAUAAUAGUAAUAAUGUAGUAAGCAAUAAGUACAAAAAGAGUAGAAUUUUAAAAUCUACAUCUAAUACAAUUACAUGAACUGUUUCUCAACUAUUAGGUAAAGCUUUUUAAACAUGUAAUAUUUAUAAAAACUGAUACCAUCGUAGCCAAAAGAAAUUCCAAAUGCUUGAAUUCAGAAAAUGAACUUCUAGAAAAGUCAGAUCAUGUUGUAAAUUAGAAGAUAUUUCUAACUAAAUGGCAAUAUAAAUAUUUUAAAAUUAUAGUACCCCUUAAAUGUCAGUUUCUUUUGGAUCUGCUUUCUUACAUCACAGUACACAAGAAUGCACAUAAUAAGCACUCAGCAAUGUUUAAAUGAAUCUCCAUAUAAAAUGCAAUGUGGUAACAUGUAAAUGAAGCACUAAUUUAGAAUUUUAUACAGGCAUACCUCAUUGUGCUUUACAGACACUCUUUUUUACAAACUGAAGCAUUAUGGCAACCCUAUGUUGUCAUACAAUGGUAUUUUUUUGUAAUAAAUAUUUUUUACUUAAGGUAUGUACUUGUUUCUUUAGAUUUCAUGUUAUUGCUUAAUAGGCUAUAGUAUAAGAUGAAGAUAACAUUUAUAUUUACUAAAAACAAAAAAAUCUCUACUACUUACUUUAUUGGUCUGCAACUGAAUCCACAGUAUUUCUGGAGUAUGCCUGUAUACUUUAAUGCAUGUACUUAAAAUGAUGAAGAAUAUUUACCUAAGAAUGCCAAUAAAGAGGUAAAAAGACACAGCAAAAUAAACCUACAGGAAGUAGAGGUAGAUAAGGAAAUAAGAGCAGAAAUCAACAGCAAAUGCAAGAAAGAAUCAAAACCUCUGUCUGAAAAUAAUUAUUUUAUAGCAAAGUUAAUCAAAGAAGACUUAAAGAUGAUUUUGAGUUGAGAAUCUACCUAUAACCCCAUUUACAAUCUCAUGAAAAAGAAUCUAGGAGUAAACCCACCUAAGAAAACUAAAAGAUGAGAACUCAGAAAACUGUAAAGACAUUGAUAAAAUAGAGGAUGACCCAAACACAUGGAAAGGGAUAAUGUGUUUAUGGAUUGAAAGAAUCAACAUAGUUGUAAUGGCCAUACAACACAGGGUAACCUACAGAUUCCAUUCAACCCCUAUAAAAUUACCAAGGGCGGAGUUCCCAUCGUGGCGCAGUGGUUAAUGAAUCCGACUAGGAACCAUGAGGUUGUGGGUUUGGUCCCUGCCCUUGCUGUGGUGUAGAUUGCAGACGUGGCUCGGAUCCCGUGUUGCUGUGGCUCUGGCGUAGGCCAGUGGCUACAGCUCUGAUUUGACCCCUAGCCUGGGAACCUCCAUAUGCCAUGGGAGCGGCCCAAGAAAUAGCAAAAAGAAAAAAAAAAAAAUACCAAGGACAUUUUUCACAGAAAUAGAACAAAUAAUUUUUAAAUUUGUAUGGAAAUACAACAACUCUGAAUGGCCAAAAUAAUCUUGAGAAUAAAAGAACAAAGCUAGAAGAAUCAUGGACCCUAACUUCAAACUAUACUACAAAGCAACAAUAAUCAAAAUAGUAUGGUACCAGCACCAAAAAACAUGCUUAGAUUGGUGGAAUAGAAAAGAGAGCUCAGAAAUAAAUCCAUACACUUGUGGUCAGUUUUAACAAAGGAGACAAGAACAUAGAAUGGUGAAAAGAAAAAUCUCCCAAUAAGUGAGCUAUAGGUGUAAGUAUAUACUCAAUGGUUUUUAAUAUAUAGGUAGCAAUUAGAUGAUGCUGGGAUCAAUAAGUGGUGCUGGGAAAAGACAUUCAUGUAAAAGAAUGAAAUCAGAAUAUUCUCUAACACCAUAUACAAAAAUAAACUCAAAAUGGAUUAAAGACCUAAGUAUAUGGCUUUUAUGUGUAAUUAAACUCUUAAAGGAAAACAUAUGCAGAACACUCUUUGACACAAAUUAUAACAAUUUUUUUAGAUGUUUCCUAAAGAAAAUAAACAAAUGGGACCUAAUUAAACUUAACAGCUUUUGUACAGUGAAGGAAACCAUCAAAACAAAAAAACCUAUAGAAUGGAAAAAAUAUUCACAAAUGCUCUGACCAGCAAGGGCUUAAUUUCAACCAAAAUAUACAAAGAGCUCUACAGCUAAAUAACAAACAACCCAAUCAAAAAAUAGGCAGAAGACCUAAAUAUUUCUCAGAAGACAUGGCCAAUAGGCACAUGAAUAGAUGUUCAACAUUGCUAUUUACUACAGAGAGGCAAAACUACAAAGAGGUACCACCUCACACUGGUCAGACUGGCCACCAUCAAAAAGUCUAUGAAUAAAAAUUGCUAGAGAGGGUAUAAAAAGGAACACCUCUAUACUGUUGGUGAGAAUGUAAACUGGUGAAACCACUAGGGAGAAUGGAGCAGAGGUUUCUUAAAAAAAAAAGAAAAAAAAUUUAGAGCUACCAUAUAAUCCUACAAUCCCACACUUGGGCAUAUAUCUGGAGAAAAAUUUGAUUUGAAAAUAUGGUAUGCUCAUGUUCAUAGCACCACUAGUUAACAAUAGCAAAAAUAAGGAAACAAUCUAAGUACCUAUUGACAGAUGAAUGGAUAAAGGAGAUGUGGUAUUUAUACACAAUCAGCCAUAAAAAGAAUGAAAUAAUGCCAUUUUGCAGCAACAUAGAUGGACCUAGAAAUUAUCAUAUGAAGUAAGCCAAAGACAACUACUACAUGACAUCACUUAAAUGUGGCAUUCUUAAAAAAAAAAAAUACAAAUUAACUUAUUUACAAAACAUAAAUCUACUCAUAGACAUAGAAAAUUUAUGGUUAACGAAGAGGAAAGGAAGAGUGGGGGUUAAUUAGGAGUUUAGGAUUAAAAUAUACACACUACUAUAUAUGAAGCAUAACCAACAAGGACCCACUGUAAAGCACAGGGGGAAUAUACCCAAUUUCUUUUAAUUACCUAUAAUGGACAAGAAUGUAAAAUAUAUUUUAUAUAUAUGUAUAACUGAAUCACUUUGCUGUGUACCUGAAACCAGCACAUUGUAAAUUACAAUACAUUUUUUUAAAGUUGCAGAGAAAUAUUGUAUAACAGGAAAUAUAGUGAAUAUUGGAUAACUCUAAAUGUAGUAUAACCUUCAAAAAUUAUGAUUCACUAUACUGUACAUCUGAAACUUAUAUGGUACAGCAACUAUAUCUCAAACAAUGAAAUUAAAUUUUAUAAAGGUGACAUACUCGACAAAUACUGUACAGACAAGAAAGCACAAAAAUUAAAAGAUAAAUCAAUUACCCAGGAAAAAAAAAAAGGACUUCUGUGGGAGGUCUACAAAAUACAUACACACUAAAAAUUAUGAAACAUUACUGGGACAUUACCAUAGACCUAUAAAUUAAAAGAAAUAACAUGUACAAAAACUGGAAGACUUGAUAUUGCUACAGUUCUCCCAAAAUUGCUAUAUGGAUUCAAUACAAUGCAAGUCUAGUCAAAAUCUCAGGUGUGUUUUGGAGAACAACAAGAUAAUAUCUAUAUUGAAAUGCAAAUAGCCAAGAAUUGCAGACACUCUUACAAUAAAAGGGGAAUGGAUAUACUAUUAUAUCAAGAUGUAUAUAAAACUAUUAAGCUAUUAUAGUUAGGAUAGUGUAAUAGUAGUACAGGAAUGUAGUUGAACAGAAAGAGGACCUACAACAAGACCAUUCCUUUGGUGACAGAAGCUCUCACUGUGGCACAAUGGGAUCAGCAGCAUCUUGGGAGUGCUGGGACAUGGGUUCAAUCUCCAGCCCAUGGGUUAAGGAUCUGGCAUUGCUGUGAGCUGUGGUGUAGGUCGCAGAUGUGGCUGGGAUCUAGCGUUGCUGUGGCUACAACUCACCUAGAGAUGAAGGAUGUGUUUUCAAGGUGGCUCACUUAAGGCUGGCAAGUUAAUAUGGUUACUUCUCAAAUGGGAGUUCUGCCAGGGCAGAGGGCUGGGGAUCAUAGUUCCUUCCCAGUUGGGCUUUGAUUGUCACAGGCUGUUUGGGCUUCCUCACAUUAUGAUGGCUGAGUUC